UACAGAGGGUGCGAGCGUUAAUCGGAAUUACCGGGCGUAAAGCGCGCGUAGGCGGCUUUGCAAGCCGGAUGUGAAAUCCCCGGGCUUAACCUGGGAACUGCAUUCGGGACUGCAUUGCUAGAGUAUGGGAGAGGGAAGUGGAAUUUCAGGUGUAGCGGUGAAAUGCGUAGAUAUCUGAAGGAACAUCAGUGGCGAAAGCGACUUCCUGGACCAAUACUGACGCUCAUGUGCGAAAGCGUGGGGAGCAAACAGG
rnacentral:rRNA from 1 species